UACAGAGGUGGCAAGCGUUGUUCGGAAUUACUGGGCGUAAAGGGCGCGUAGGCGGCCUUCUUAGUCGGACGUGAAAUCCCCAGGCUCAACUUGGGAACUGCGUCCGAUACUGGAUGGCUUGAGUGCGGGAGAGGGAUGUGGAAUUCCAGGUGUAGCGGUGAAAUGCGUAGAUAUCUGGAGGAACACCGGUGGCGAAGGCGGCAUCCUGGACCGACACUGACGCUGAGGCGCGAAAGCUAGGGGAGCAAACGGG
rnacentral:rRNA from 1 species